UGUUGGGCGCAUGACCAAAUUGCAAAAUGUACCAGGCCCGAGAUCGAUCGAUCUGAACGGACGCACGAAGGAAGAAAAAGUGUAGGAGUUGCGGCACAUCACCGCCGCCGCUCCUACACCGUCCGCCAUAGCGAUUCCCUUCCAUCUCGCAGCCAUCCAAAGUGAGUCCUUCUUCGCCGUCUCCGAUCUGGAACUUCACCGCCGCCGCCGCCGCCGCAUCUCCUCCUUCCUCUCUUGGCAACUGUCGGCGGCAGCCAACGGCUCUCUUCCCCCCUUGUUCCUCCCGCUAUCGCGAGUCAACGGGAUGCUCGAUUCGUUACAUUUUUUUUAAGUACUAGUAUUGCUAAUUUGUUGGAGCAAGCUAACUGCAUUGAUCGCUCACGUGGUACUGCUUCGAUCUUCACAAUCACCCGAUAAAAAUAGUUGCGACAGAGAAAAAAAAAAAGAAAGUGUGGGACGGAAGGGAAAGGGGGGAAUUCGCUAUAAAAGCACUCGGAAUUGGCCUGCUCGAUGCGCCGAGGCUGACUGAUCUCCUGCAGUUCCAAGACUGAACAGCGAGAUCUCUGCAGAUCUGGGUGCAGUGAUUUGAUUCGCAGGUGUAAGCUUGAUUAGCCAUUACUUGAGGAGUUAGGUUUCAUGUUUGGAUAAUAAUCAGGCCUACUUUUGGUACUGUCGUACUAAGGACUGAUCUGGUGGUAAUGGCGGAGACGGUGUUGAGCAUGGCAAGGUCGCUGGUGGGGAAUGCCAUCACGAAGGCCGGAGAGGCAGCUGCUGCAGAGAUAAGCUUACUGAUUGGUGUGAACAAGGAGAUCUGCUGAAGAGAUGGAGAAAAAACCCAGGCUGUUGAAAGCGUGGGUGGAGCAAGUAAGGGAUUUAUCUUUUGACAUUGAAGAUUGCCUCGCUGAGUUUAUGGUUCACGUGGGGAGCAAAAGCUUGUCACAACAGUUGAUGAAGCUCAAACAUCGCCAUCGCAUUGCCAUCCAGAUUCGUGACCUCAAAUCAAGAGUUGAAGAAGUGAGCGAUAGGAAUUCACGGUACUCAUUAAUCAGCCCUAACACCGAUGAGCAUGACACCUUGAGGGAUGAAUUUCGCUACUGGUCAGCUAAGAACAUUGAUGAGGCUGAACUUGUGGGUUUUGAUGAUGCAAAGGAAAGUAUACUUAAUUUGAUCGAUGUCCAUGCUAACCAUGGUCUUGCUAAAGUGAUCUUUGUAGUUGGCAUGGGCGGUCUAGGGAAGACAAGUCUUGUUAAAAAGGUUUACCAUAGUAUUAAUAUUGUUAAUAAUUUCUCAUGCCGUGCUUGGGUCACUGUGUCACAGUCAUUUGUCAGGACAGAGCUCCUGAGAGGACUAAUCAAGCAACUUUUGGGUGGUGAUUCGGAAAAUGAACACUUCAAAGGUCUUCAGAGCAUGCAAAGGAAUGAGAAAGUGGAAGACCUCGUGGAAGACUUGAAGCAAGGUCUAAAAGAGAAAAGGUACUUUGUUGUUCUAGAUGACAUGUGGAGCAUAGAUGCAUUGAAUUGGCUUAAUGAAUCUGUUUUUCCUGACUCUAAUAAUGGAGGAAGUCGCAUAAUAGUAACCACGAGAGAUGCCAGCAUAAUUCAAAACUGUGCUUAUCCUUCUUAUCUGUACCGCCUUGAACCCUUAAAAACAGAUGAUGCUAAACAAUUGCUGCUGAGAAAAUCAAAUAAAAGUUAUGAGGACAUAAAAGAGGCAAGGCUGAGAAGGUGUUUGAUAGGAUACUAGAAAGAUGUGGAGGCUUACCGCUAGCUCUUGUUGCGAUAGGAGCUGUCCUUCGCACGAAAUGCAUAGAAGAUUGGGAAAAACUGUCUCUGCAGCUAUCUUCAGGGCUCAAAACAAAGUCAAGUCUUGAAGAAAUGACUAGAGUAAUUACACUUAGUUAUACACACUUGCCAUCUCAUCUCAAGCCAUGUUUUCUGUACCUUAGCAUUUUCCCCGAGGAUUUUCCAAUAAAAAGGAGGUGUAUGGUAAAUAGAUGGAUAGCCGAGGGUUUUGUGGAUGCAAAGUUUGGAAUGGCUAUGGAGGAUGUUGGAAAUAGUUAUUUCGAUGAACUCAUCAAUAGAAGCAUGAUUCAACCAUGUAGGUUUUAUAGUCAUGGAGUAGUACAGUCCUGUGUACUCCAUGAUAUCAUGCGUGAUAUCGCAAUUUCUAUUUCCGCAGAGGAGAAUUUCGUAUUCAUGACGAAAGGGUUUGUCUCUGGUAUUCCACCUGAAAACAUCCAUCACCUUUCUAUUGAUGGGAGACAGGAUUCAUACCUAAGCUUUGAUCUAAGCCAUGUCCGGUCAUUAAGUUUCUUUUACAAUCCUAAAGAGCAACUAGCUUCACUGUGCUCACCACAGCUAAGGAUGCUCCGAGUGUUGGAUCUAGAGUUUAGUCUAUGUCGUGUAACACAGAACGACAUCAGUAACAUAGGAUCAUUUUGCCACUUAAGGUAUCUAUCUGUGAAGAAAGGUUCAUAUAUUUACCAUAUUCCAAGAUCCAUCAGGAAAUUGCAAGGAUUGCAAACUUUAAACCUGAAAAGAUCAUUAAUUACUAAAGUGCCCGCAGAAGUCACUGAACUUCGUAGUUUCCGCAGUCUCCGGUGUAGCACCCUUGGAGUUUACAGUCACUUCGAAUUUACUACCCGUGAGCCCAAAAAAUCCUUAGUAACUACAAUGAAAUUGCCCUUGAUAUUGCCACAUUUGAUUAGCGGAGACAAAUCCUCGGAGGUGGUGGCGGAGUUCCGCAAGGGUGAGCGUACCAAAAGGAAUAGGGAGCCUGAAGGAGUUACAGAUUCUUGAGCUUGUGGAUAUCGCACGAAGCAACAAGAAAGCAGUCCACGAGUUGGGGGAACUUACUCAGCUGAAAAAAUUAGGCGUGGCAGGGGUCACCGAGAGGAAUGUCAGUUAUCUCUGUGAAGCCCUUCAGAAGCUUUCUUCUCUCUGUUCCCUUCGUGUGGAGGCCAAACCCUUCCGAGGCCUCCACAUGCUUGAGCAGCUUGCUUCCCCACCUCCCUUCCUCCACACCCUCAAAUUGAAAGGCUCCCUUCAUGAAAUCCCCAGUUGGGUCGGAAAGCUCGAGAAGUUGGUAAAGGUUCAGCUAGUUUUCACCAAACUGAAGGAUACUGAAUCCAUACAAGUACUCGGGGAAUUGCCCGGCCUCAAAUGCCUCCGUCUUAUUUUAAAUGCCUACAUUGGAAAAGAGCUAGUUCUUUGCCAUGGGAAGUUCCGAGGGCUAAAGACUCUUCGACUUGACUCUUUGGAGGAGCUGAGAAAGGUUACAUUCGAGGAGAGGACCUCGCCCAAGCUGGAAACAAUAACCAUUCAGGAUUGCAGCUCGGAGUUAGCAGUCUGCGGCACGGCUAACCUCCAAAGCCUCGAGAAAAUUAAGUAUUUUGCAAAAGGGAAACUGGUGAAGCGUCCUGUGGUGCAAGCGGGUCAGAGCCAAAGUGCGCAUCAUCGGGAGGACAUCAAAGCUGCAGAGAUAAUAGAGAAAUCUCAAACAUCAUCACUAGAGAAAGGCGAGAGUUCACAAUCAAUACCUAGGCCUGAUGUCCUUCGUACUCUUCCACCCAUCUCUGCAACAACCAAGCUGAAGAGAAGUCUGUCCUGCCCAGCAUCAACAUCUAUCGUCAUGUGAACUAUAGAUCAAAGACUCUCAACAUCAAAUGUUGAUGCCACCAUCUUGUAGAACUCAUGACGCAUCGUAGAGCUGUGAUAAUUGUAGAACUCAUGACACAUCAGAGAGCUGUGGUUGUUGUAGAGAGCUAUUUUCAGGGACUGAACUUACCUCCAUGGUGGUAACUGAGACUUGCAAUCUUACAGACUCAUUUAUGGCUGAAUCCAAAUUGGUUGCUUGGAGUCUGGAGCUCCAUGAGAUCACAAUGGCCACUUUUUGUUGCCAUGAGUGGUACAUGGAUCGUGCUGCUAAGCCUUUACUCUGAGCUAGCGGAAAACUGGCUGGCUGUAUAUCGAGUUCACAAUCGCCCUCAACUUUGUCAAUGCGAUGGUGGUCAUGGAUAGAUGUAUGUCAUAUAGCGCAAAGUGGAGCCUCCAAUGUUCGCCAACCGUAUUGUAAACGUGGGAGGAGAAAAUUUCUCAAGGGACAACCAUGGAACAGAGGUGAUGGAGCAAACUACUUGCUAUCAUUUCAGAGCACAGGCUGAAUUUUAGCUCAGAUAAGAGUACUAAUUCUUAUUUGUCUGUCAUUGAUCUAUCAUACUCCUUCCGUCCCUAAAUAUAAGGGAUUUUGUUUGGAUAUGAUAUAUCCUAGUACAAUAAAUCUAGAUAAGCUCCAGUCCAGAUUCGUUGUAUUAGGAUAUAUUGUAUCCAACCAAAAUCCCUUAUAUUUAGGGACGGAGGGAGUAUAUUUUAAGAGUUGAAUCAGAUGACUGCUUGAUUAUUACAUGAUGAUAUGUAAAAAAUGGUAUUGACAAGAAGACGUAGGAGCAGGGUGGUUCAUUGCUCAUUGAGGAGGUACUGAUAGGUACAAAAAUUUGAGAUUUGCUCCGGUAUAGCAAAAAGUAUCUCGAGUUAUGGGUACCUCACGGUACCAAAUCGUUUACGAUUGUUAGAUCUAGCGUGAGGUAUCGGUAUCUCAAGGACUCGAUGUACUUUUUGUUAGACCGGAGCAUAUCUUUAAAAAUUUAAUGUAAAAUUCGGUACUGAGAGGUACCAAAAUUACAUUAGAAAAGUGCUACUUCCUAUUAGCUUCUCAAGAACUGUAAAAUUGUUCUUUUAAUCUUAAUCUUGGAGUACUAGGAUGGUAAAUUGAGUUGGUGGUUAUUUCUCUACUACUUUUGAUGUGGUACGAAACUAAUUUGUUUCUGCUCAUGUACGUAAAAUGGAAAAUUUUAGUGAUUAUUAACCUUA